rnacentral:rRNA from 1 species
UUUUAUUUGAGAGUUUGAUCCUGGCUCAGGAUGAACGCUGGCGGCGUGCCUAACACAUGCAAGUUGAGCGAUUUACUUCGUUAAAGAGCGGCGGAGGGGUGACUAACGCGUGGGUCACCUUCCCUGUAUACACUGAUAACAUACAUAAAGGUAUGCUAAUACGUUAUAAUACAUUUGAGCGGCAUCGCUGAAAUAUCAUUGGGGAGCCAGUACCGGAUGUGCCCGCGUCUGAUUAGCUAGUUGGAAAGGUAACGGAUUACCAAGGCGUCGAUCAGUAGCCGACCUGAGAGGGUGAUCGGCCCUAUUGGAACUGAGACACGGUCCAAACUCCUACGGGAGGCAGCAGUGGGGAAUAUUGCACAAUGGGCGAAAGCCUGAUGCAGCAACGCCGCGUGAGUGAUGAAGGCCUUCGGG